GAUUUAGUGGCGAACGGGUGAGGAUCACGUGAGAAACCUGCCCCAGACUUUGGGAUAACAGUUGGAAACGACUGCUAAUACCGAAUGACGUCGGAGAACCGCAUGGUUCACUGACGAAAGGAAAUCCGGUUUGGGAGGGUCUCGCGGCCUAUCAGCUUGUUGGUGGGGUAAUGGCCUACCAAGGCAACGACGGGUAGCUGGUCUGAGAGGAUGAUCAGCCACACUGGGACUGAGACACGGCCCAGACUCC
rnacentral:rRNA from 1 species